rnacentral:rRNA from 1 species
ACUCAAAGGAAUUGACGGGGGCCCGCACAAGCGGUGGAGCAUGUGGUUUAAUUCGACGCAACGCGAAGAACCUUACCAGGUCUUGACAUCUUCUUGACCGGUGCAGAGAUGUACCUUUCCCUUCGGGGACAAGAGGACAGGUGGUGCAUGGUUGUCGUCAGCUCGUGUCGUGAGAUGUUGGGUUAAGUCCCGCAACGAGCGCAACCCUUGUUGUUAGUUGUCAGCACGUAAAGGUGGACCCUCUAACGAGACUGCCGGUGACAAACCGGAGGAAGGUGGGGAUGACGUCAAAUCAUCAUGCCCUUUAUGACCUGGGCUACACACGUGCUACAAUGGCCUAUACAGAGGGAAGCGAAGCCGCGAGGUGGAGCGAAUCCCAGAAAGUAGGUCUCAGUUCGGAUCGCAGGCUGCAACUCGCCUGCGUGAAGUCGGAAUCGCUAGUAAUCGCGGAUCAGCAUGCCGCGGUGAAUACGUUCCCGGGCCUUGUACACACCGCCCGU